CGUGUGGUUCUAUUUUGUUGGUUAUGGGACCGCCGUAAUGAUUAAUAGGGACAGUCGGGGGCAUCAGUAUUCAAUUGUCAGAGGUGAAAUUCUUGGAUUUAUUGAAGACUAACUACUGCGAAAGCAUUUGCCAAGGAUGUUUUCAUUAAUCAGGAACGAAAGUUAGGGGAUCGAAGACGAUCAGAUACCGUCGUAGUCUUAACCAUAAACUAUGCCGACUAGGGAUCGGGCGAUGUUACUUUUUGACUCGCUCGGCACCUUACGAGAAAUCAAAGUUUGUGGGUUCCUGGGGGAGUAUGGUGGCAACGCUGAAACUUAAAGAAAUUGACGGAAGGGCACCACCAGGGGUGGAGCCUGCGGCUUAAUUUGACUCAGCACGGGGAAACUCACCAGGUCCAGACACAAUGAGGAUUGACAGAUUGAGAGCUCUUUCUUGAUUUUGUGGGUGGUGGUGCAUGGCCGUUCUUAGUUGGUGGAGUGAUUUGUCUGCUUAAUUGCGAUAACGAACGAGACCUUAACCUGCUAAAUAGCCCGUGUUGCUUCUGCAGCACGCCGGCUUCUUAGAGGGACUAUCGGCUCAAGCCGAUGGAAGUUUGAGGCAAUAACAGGUCUGUGAUGCCCUUAGAUGUUCUGGGCCGCACGCGCGCGACACUGACAGGGUCAGCGAGUUCUCCCUUGUCCGAAAGGACCGGGUAAUCUUGUUAAACCCUGUCAUGC
rnacentral:rRNA from 1 species